rnacentral:lncRNA from 1 species
GCCGCUUUUCUUAUUUCCUCACAGGAAGGAGCUAGCUAUUCAGCUGGUUUCAGGCCUCUGACGGAGGCCUUGCUCCGUAUGUAGUUGCAGACUUGGUGUGUCGGUAAGAGGAACGAUGCCUCCCUGGACCUUCUGCAGCCUGGUGCCGCCUGUGUGGUGUUGGCCACGACGGAGGCUUUGUGACAGAGCGCAUGCCUUUUGGUCCCAUACAGGCUCAGCCAAGCCCAGCUGACGGGCAUGCGUGUGACAUGGGAAGAUCCCACCCAGACUCAUGGACCCUGGAAACAGCUGGUUUUGAAAUCAAGCAGAUAUUGAAUAUCUGGUGA